AUGUUUUCCUGGGCGAUCUUCGUACUGCAGGUUCAGCUAAUGGAUAUCACUGAGGUUCUGCUAGCUACGCAGUCCCAUGAUGGUCAGAUACGAAAUGUUGCAGAAGGGAAUAUCAAGCAAUUUGAGGAACAGAGUUUACCACAGUUCCUACAAGCAUUAUCUGCUGAGCUAUCGAAUGAUAACAAACCUCCUGUAUCUCGAAGGCUUGCUGGUAUUCUUCUCAAAAAUUCUUUGGAUGCAAAUGAUUUAGUGAGGAAAGAAAAAUGCACACAACGAUGGAUAAGUGUUGACCCUGCAAUCAAGUCACAGGUUAAAGGUUCCCUGUUGAUGACCCUUGGAUCACCAGUAUCUGACGCUCACCGCAGUUCUUCACAAGUCAUUGCGAAGAUUGCUUCCAUUGAGAUCCCUCUUCAAGGAUGGCCAGAACUCAUAGUAAGCUUGCUAGGUAACAUGACAAAGCCAGAUGCAUCUCCUUCUCUGAAGCAGGCUACCCUGGAUGCCAUUGGAUAUGUCUGUGAGGAGAUAUCCCCUAAGGAUCUGGAGCAGGAUCAAGUUAAUGCUGUUCUUACUGCUGUGGUCCAGGGUAUGAAUCACGUGGAGAAUAGUUCAGGGGUCCGACUUGCUGCUGUUAAAGCAUUGUAUAAUGCUCUUGAUUUUGCUGAGACAAAUUUUCAGAAUGAAUCAGAGAGGAACUACAUAAUGAAGGUAGUUUGUGAGACUGCCAUUUCUAAAGAGGCUGAUAUCAGGAAGGCUGCAUUUGAGUGUUUGGUCUCCAUUGCAUCAACAUACUAUGAUCUUCUAGAGCCCUACAUGCAGACAUUAUUUGAGUUGACAGCAAAUGCUGCCAGGGCAGAUGAAGAACAGGUAGCACUUCAAGCUAUUGAGUUCUGGAGCACAAUCUGUGAUGAAGAAGUUGCAAUUCAAGAAGACGCUGAAGAAUCUGGUGAUGUUAGUCCUGAAUGUCAUUUCCAUUUUAUUGAAAAGGCCCUUCCUUUGCUUGUCCCUAUGCUUUUAGAAACACUUCUGAAGCAAGAGGAGGAUCAGGAUGAAGAUGAUGGAAUCUGGAAUAUAUCAAUGGCGGGGGGCACCUGCCUUGGGCUUGUUGCAACGACUGUCAAGGAUGCCAUUGUACCUCUUGUGAUGCCAUUUAUAGAAGGCAAUAUAACAAAGCCUGACUGGCACAGCAGGGAGGCUGCUACAUUUGCAUUUGGUUCCAUUCUUGAAGGUCCUUCAGUUGAAAAGCUUGCACCACUGGUUCAUGCUGGCUUUGAUUUCCUGCUAAAUGCAACCAAGGAUCAAAAUAACCAUGUCAGGGAGACUACUGCAUGGGCACUUUCGAGGGCAUUUGAGUUUCUACAUUCACCAACCAGUGGCGUUUCUGUAGUGACAAAUGCAAACCUUCCUCAUGUUAUAGAAAUCAUGUUAACAAGCAUCAAAGACUCCCCUAAUGUUGCUGAGAAGAUCUGUGGUGCCCUGUAUUUUCUUGCUCACGGCUAUGAGAAUGCAGGGUCUAUGUCAUCAGUGCUGUCACUCUACUUUGGUCAAUUAGUAUCAGCUCUCCUUGCCACUGCUGAUCGUUCUGAUUCCAACAACUCCAGGCUUUGUGCAUCUGCAUAUGAAACACUUAAUGAGAUUGUGAGAUGCAGCAGCAUUGCAGACACUCUGAACAUGAUUGUGUUAUUAUUGCAAGAGAUCUUGAAGAGAUUAAACCAGACCUUUGAGUUUCAGAUCACAUCCUCUGAGGACAAGGAAAAGCAAAGUGAUCUUCAAGCCUUGCUGUGUGGUGUUGUUCAAGUAAUCCUUCAGAAGUUCAGCAACUGUGAUGAUAAGUCAGUAAUCAUUCAGUUUGCUGACCAAAUAAUGGUGUUAUUUCUCCGGGUUUUUUCAUGCGAUUGUUCUAAUGUGCAUGAAGAAGCAAUGCUUGCUAUUGGUGCUCUUGCUUAUGCUACUGGACCGGAAUUUGUGAAAUACAUGCCAGAGUUUCACAAGUACCUUGAAAUGGGCUUACAAAAUUUUGGUGCAUAUCAAGUAUGCUGUGUUUCUGUGGGUGUGGUUGCGGACAUCUGUCGUGCCCUGGAUGACAAGGUACUCCCUUACUGUGAUGCUAUCAUGUCCGCCCUUCUCAAGGACCUUUCAAGCCCAGAGCUUCACCGUUCCGUGAAACCGCCAAUUUUGUCAUGCAUAGGAGAUAUUGCACUUACAAUUGGUGAGCAUUUUGAGAAAUAUGUUCCAUACACUGUGCCUAUGUUGCAAGGAGCUGCAGAGCUUUGUUCUCGCAUGGACCUUCCUGAUGAUGACAGUACAGAGUAUAAAAAUGAACUCAGGCGAAGCAUCUUCGAGGCCUAUUCAGGUAUACUUCAGGGAGUCAAAAAUUCAAAAUCAGAGCUAAUGGUUCCUUAUGCCAGCCAUAUUUUCCAGUUCGCCGAACUAGUCCUCCGAGAGACAUCAAGGGAUGAGGGUCUGACGAAAGCUGGAGUUGCCUUGGUCGGGGACCUGGCGGAUGCGCUAGGACCUUCCAUCAAACUGCUGCUCAAGAAUUCCAACUUCCACUCGGAGCUCCUUGGGCGGUGCUCCCAGUCUGAUGACGAACAGCUAAGGGAGACUGCAUCCUGGGUCCAGGGUGUGAUCUCACGUGUGCUGGUUUCAUGA
rnacentral:rRNA from 1 species